UAAACUUAGGUAGUAAUAGAUAUGAUCUUAAAACUUAAAAAAUUUGGCGGUGUUUUAAUCUAUUUAGAGGAACCCUGUUCUUUAAUUGAUAUUCCACGUUAAAUUUUACUAAAUUUUAUUAAAUUUGUAUACCGUCGUUAUCAGAUUAUUUUAAAAGAAAAUAAUAUUCAAUAAUUUAUAUAAAAAUUUAUUUCAGAUCAAGGUGCAGUUUAUAAUUUAGAAGAAAUGGGUUACAAUAAAUUAAUUUAUACGAAUAAAUUAUUGAAAUAUAAUUUUAAAGGUGGAUUUAAUAGUAAUAUUAAUAAAAUAAUUAUUAUGAUUUUAGUUCUAAAACAUGUA
rnacentral:rRNA from 1 species